rnacentral:ncRNA from 1 species
UAAGGACAUUUUAGUAUUUAUUCACUUCUUCCCUCUCAAUUUCACAUGAAAUUGCAAUUCAUUUCUCACGUAAUUCUCUCCGCAACCAAACGCCCCAUUAUAGUGUAUAUAUAUAUAUAUAUAUAUAUAUAUAUAUAUAUAUAUAUAUAUAUAUAUAUAUAGAGCGCGGGACCUAUACCCGGCCGUCGGGGCAAGAGCUAGGCCCCAAUGAGUAGGAGGGCGCGGCGGUCGCUGCAAAACCUCGGGCGCGAGCCCGGGCGGAGCGGCCGUCAGUGCAGAUCUUG